AUGCGCGAUCUCCCCAACCAAGUCUCCGGGAGCUUGUCGGACGCACUUGACCACACUUGUGCACACACAAAGACCCACUUGGACGUGUCACAGCUAAGGAAUGUGAACAGUGAGCACGCAGUAAAUCACACAGUGGGGGGGACACGCACACACAAACACACAGACACACAUAUAUAUAUAUAUAUAUAUAUAUAUAUAUAUAUACUGUACACAAUGUACACGCUGCUGUCCCCGAGCAUCUUGGCACGGGGCCCGGGUGCCUUCGCGUCUCCUCGGGGCCACUCGGGGCCACUCGUGUGCGUUCGCAGGCUUGCCUCGUUGCGCCGAUCGCAUGGGGUCCCAACUUUGACCGUGCACUUCGGAGCCCCCCUGCACGAGCCCCGGCUCUCUCGGCACAACCGGAGGACGGGGGGCAAAAAGGGGGAAGCACAUGGCAGUGGUAUAGGUCAAACUGCACCGCACGGCGAGAAGGAAACGCCGGAUAGCCCCCGCCCGCCCGCCCGCCCCUGCGUGCACCUAUGGGUGCAGUCGCCAUACAGCGCCCGGGUUGACGUGAGGACAGCGCUCACCUUGCACCGCCGUCCCCGCGAAGCAGCCCCCGCUCGCUCGCUCGCUCGCUGGCUGGCUGGCAGGCUCGCAGGCUCGCAGGCUCACGCCGUCCACAGAAGAGAUCAGAUAAAAACACGCCACAGAUUGACACCGCCAACACAUGUCGGACCGAGCCCGGCGUCCCGUGCCUGCGUCAACACGGAGCCCCGUGAACUUGGAACGGUCGGAUUAACACGUGAAAGAGGAGGGGGGGUAGAGGAAGGAGAGGGGGGGGGGAGACACACACAGCAGAACCAUAUGCGAAGGGAUAAAAAAGCGAGUCCGGUUGGUUUUACCGUCUCAAACGGCGACGCCACUUCCUUCUCCCGCCGGCAGCCCCUCCGCUCUCCGUCCGCUCUCAGGUGCGCGGGGACGUCGGCGCCAUGUCCUGUCUUCCCCGGGACUGCCAACCCCACGGUCGCGGUGUGCAUGGGGGGACGGGCCGGGGGGGACGGGACUGUACGGCGGUUAUUAGCUCUCCGCGCUCGGUCCUCCCUCCCCUUGCCUGUACAGUACGGGUGA
rnacentral:lncRNA from 1 species